rnacentral:rRNA from 1 species
GAUCAUGGCUCAGGAUAGAACGCUAGCUACAGGCUUAACACAUGCAAGUCGGAGGGGCAGCAUGAACUUAGCUUGCUAAGUUUGAUGGCGACCGGCGCACGGGUGAGUAACACGUAUCCAACCUGCCGAUGACUCGGGGAUAGCCUUUCGAAAGAAAGAUUAAUACCCGAUGGCAUAGUUCUUCCGCAUGGUAGAACUAUUAAAGAAUUUCGGUCAUCGAUGGGGAUGCGUUCCAUUUAGGG